rnacentral:sRNA from 1 species
AUCAAUCCAGCACUGUCUAGAGAUUAGGAGCUGGUGAUGCAAGUGCCUGUGGGGAAACCAAUACAUAGCGCCGAUUAUAACUGAUAAGCUCAGCCUUCUUGUGGGAGUCAUGGCCGGCUUCAACAUGGGGGGCGACCUCAGGGAGCCUGCCGCCAGCAUUCCCCUGGGCUCCCUGGCAGCUGUUGGCAUCUCGUGGUUUCUGUACAUCGUCUUCGUCUUCCUCCUGGGCGCCAUCUGCACUCGAGAGGCCCUUCGCUAUGACUUCCUCAUAGCGGAAAAGGUAUCCCUCGUGGGCUUCCUGUUCCUUUUGGGCUUAUACAUCUCGUCCCUGGCUUCCUGUAUGGGAGGACUUUAUGGAGCUCCCCGCAUCCUGCAGUGCAUUGCCCAGGAGAAAGUGAUCCCUGCACUUGCCUGUCUGGGACAAGGGAAGGGGCCAAACAAAACACCCGUGGCUGCCAUCUGCCUGACCAGCUUGGUGACCAUGGCCUUUGUUUUUGUGGGUCAAGUGAACGUUCUGGCCCCCAUCGUCACCAUCAACUUCAUGCUGACAUACAUCGCAGUGGACUACUCUUACUUCUCCCUGUCCAUGUGUUCCUGCAGCCUGACCCCGGUGCCUGAGCCGGUGCUCAGGGAGGGCCCGGAAGGCCUCCACUGCUCUGAGCACCUGCUCUUAGAGAAAGCUCCCAGUUACGGCUCUGAGGGACCUGCCCAAAGAGUCUUGGAGGGCACGCUACUGGAAUUCACCAAGGACAUGGAUCAGCUCCUCCAGCUAACCAGGAAGCUUGAGAGUAGCCAGCCCAGGCAAGGAGAGGGUAACAGGACCCCAGAAAGUCAGAAGAGGAAAAGCAAGAAGGCCACCAAGGAGACCCUACAAGAUAGCUUCCUCUUGGACCUCAAAUCCCCUCCUUCUUUCCCUGUUGAGAUCUCUGACAGGUUGCCCGCUGCCUCCUGGGAGGGGCAGGAGUCCUGCUGGAACAAGCAGACUUCCAGGAGCGAAGGGACUCAGCCUGAGGGAACAUAUGGAGAGCAACUUGUUCCUGAGCUGUGCAACAAAUCAGAGUCCAGUGGAGAAGAUUUCUUCCUGAAGUCCAGGCUCCAAGAACAAGAUGUCUGGAGAAGAUCCACUUCUUUCUAUACCCACAUGUGCAACCCCUGGGUCUCCCUGUUGGGGGCUGUUGGGUCCCUUCUCAUCAUGUUUGUGAUACAGUGGGUGUAUACCCUGGUUAACAUGGGUGUUGCUGCCAUUGUGUAUUUCUACAUUGGCCGGGCCAGUCCAGGGCUUCACCUUGGAUCAGCCUCCAACUUCAGCUUUUUCCGGUGGAUGAGGUCUCUCUUGCUCCCCUCCUGCAGGAGCUUGCGGUCCCCUCAGGAGCAGAUCAUCUUGGCGCCGUCCCUGGCUAAGGUUGACAUGGAGAUGACUCAGCUCACCCAGGAGAAUGCAGACUUCGCCACUCGGGAUCACUACCACCACUCGUCCCUCAUGAGCCGGGAGCAGCUGAUGCCUCACUACUAGAUGCAGUGCUGGGACCUUCCUCUUUUGGAGCUGUCCCAUGCACAGUAGACCCAAGCCCAGGACCUUCAUGGAGCUGCUUCUCCAACCUGAGAAACUCAAGACCCAUCCUCCCGCUGUCACUUUGGACAAUGGAAAUCUACAUUUUCUUUUCCCAUUUUUUUUUUUUUUGAGACAGAGUCUCGCCCUGUCACCCAGGCUGGAGUCCAGUGGCACAAUCUUGGCUCACUGCAACCUCUGCUU